rnacentral:rRNA from 1 species
UACAGAGACUGCAAGCGUUAUUCGGAUUCACUGGGCGUAAAGGGUGCGUAGGCGGCGCGGUAAGUCGGGUGUGAAAUCUCGGAGCUUAACUCCGAAACUGCAUUCGAUACUGCCGUGCUUGAGGACUGGAGAGGAGACUGGAAUUUACGGUGUAGCGGUGAAAUGCGUAGAUAUCGUAAGGGAGACCAGUGGCGAAGGCGGGUCUCUGGACAGUUCCUGACGCUGAGGCACGAAGGUCAGGGGAGCAAACGGG